GCCAGAGGAUAGUUCAAUUGGUAGAGCACGAGACUCUUAAUCUUAGGGUUGUGGGUUCAAGUCCCACGCUGGGCG